rnacentral:rRNA from 1 species
AGAGCACUCCUACGGGAGGCAGCAGUGGGGAAUAUUGCACAAUGGGCGCAAGCCUGAUGCAGUCCAUGCCGCGUGUAUGAAGAAGGCCUUCGGGUUGUAAAGUACUUUCAGCAGUGAGGAAGGUGGGUAUGUUAAUAGCAUAUUCAUUUGACGUUAGCUGCAGAAGAAGCACCGGCUAACUCCGUGCCAGCUAGCCGCGGUAAUACGGAGGGUGCGAGCGUUAAUCGGAAUUACUGGGCGUAAAGCGCAUGCAGGUGGUUUGUUAAGUCAGAUGUGAAAGCCCGGGGCUCAACCUCGGAAUUGCAUUUGAAACUGGCAAACUAGAGUACUGUAGAGGGGGUAGAAUUUCAGGUGUAGCGGUGAAAUGCGUAGAGAUCUGAAGGAAUACCGGUGGCGAAAGGCGGCCCCCUGGACAGAUACUGACACUCAGAUGCGAAAGCGUGGGGAAGCAAACAGGAUUAGAUACCCUGGUAG